UACGUAGGGGGCAAGCGUUGUCCGGAUUUAUUGGGCGUAAAGAGCGUGUAGGCGGCCAUACAGGUCAGCUGUGAAAACUCGAGGCUCAACCUCGAGACGUCGGUUGAAACCGUAUGGCUAGAGUCCGGAAGAGGAGAGUGGAAUUCCCGGUGUAGCGGUGAAAUGCGCAGAUAUCGGGAGGAACACCUGUGGCGAAAGCGGCUCACUGGACCACAACUGACGCUGAGGCGCGAAAGCGUGGGGAGCGAACAGG
rnacentral:rRNA from 1 species